rnacentral:rRNA from 1 species
UACGGAGGGUGCGAACGUUGCUCGGAAUUACUGGGCGUAAAGCGCGUGUAGGCGGAUCCAUAAGUCGGGCGUGAAAGCCCCAGGCUCAACCUGGGAACUGCGUUCGAAACUGUGGGUCUUGAGUGUCAGAGAGGAUGGCGGAAUUCCUGGUGUAGAGGUGAAAUUCGUAGAUAUCAGGAGGAACACCGGUGGCGAAGGCGGCCAUCUGGACGACAACUGACGCUGAGACGCGAAAGCGUGGGGAGCAAACAGG